GACAGAGGGGGCAAGCGUUAUCCGGAAUUAUUGGGCGUAAAGCGUCCGCAGGUGGCACUUCAAGUCUGUCGUCAAAGACUGGGGCUUAACCCUGGACAGGCAGUGGAGUACUCAUUUACUAGAGCGUGGUAGAGGUAGAGGGAAUUCCCCGUGGAGCGGUGAAAUGCGUAGAGAUGGGGAAGAACACCGGUGGCGAAAGCGCUCUACUGGGCCAAGGCUGACACUGAGGGAUGAAAGCUGGGGGAGCAAACAGG
rnacentral:rRNA from 1 species